CAGUAGCCGCGGUAAUACGGAGGGAGCUAGCGUUGUUCGGAAUCACUGGGCGUAAAGCGCACGUAGGCGGCUAUUCAAGUCAGGGGUGAAAGCCCGGGGCUCAACCCCGGAACUGCCUUUGAAACUAGAUAGCUUGAAUCUUGGAGAGGCGAGUGGAAUUCCGAGUGUAGAGGUGAAAUUCGUAGAUAUUCGGAAGAACACCAGUGGCGAAGGCGACUCGCUGGACAAGUAUUGACGCUGAGGUGCGAAAGCGUGGGGAGCAAACAGGAUUAGAUACCCCAGUAGUCCCUGUCUCUUAUAA
rnacentral:rRNA from 1 species